GGAUACCCGAGGGAAACUUCGGUUAAUACGGUAUAAGACCACACUACCGCAUGGUAGAGGGGUAAAAGGGGCAACCUGGUAUGAGAUGGACUCGCGUCGCAUUAGCUAGUUGGUGAGGUAACGGCCCACCAAGGCGGCGAUGCGUAGCCGACCUGAGAGGGUGAUCGGCCACAUUGGGACUGAGAUACGGCCCAGACUCCUACGGGAGGCAGCAGUGGGGAAUAUUGGGCAAUGGAGGAAACUCUGACCCAGCAAUGCCGCGUGAAUGAAGAAGGUCUUCGGAUUGUAAAGUUCUUUAGUCAGGGAAGAAGUCAAUGACGGUACCUGAAGAAUAAGCUCCGGCUAACUACGUGCCAGCAGCCGCGGUAAUACGUAGGGAGCAAGCGUUGUUCGGAAUGACUGGGCGUAAAGGGUGCGUAGGCGGUUGUACAAGUUAGAAGUGAAAUACCCAGGGCUUAACUCGGGUGCUGCUUCUAAAACUGUAUGACUUGAGUGCAGUAGAGGUUAGUGGAAUUCCUAGUGUAGCGGUGGAAUGCGUAGAUAUUAGGAGGAACACCAGAGGCGAAGGCGGCUAACUGGACUGCAACUGACGCUGAGGCACGAAAGUGUGGGGAGCAAACAGGAUUAGAUACCCUGGUAGUCCACACUGUAAACGGUGGAUACUAGAUGUAGGAGGUAUCGACUCCUUCUGCGUCGCA
rnacentral:rRNA from 1 species